CUAUGGUUCCUUAGAUGGUACGUACAGUUACUUGGAUAACUGUGGCAAUUCUAGAGCUAAUACAUGCAAACCGAGUUCCGACCGCUUCGCAGGCGGAAGGAAUGCUUUUAUUAGAUCAAAACCAAUCGGACUCCUCCGCGGGUCCGUCACGCCUUGGUGACUCUGAAUAACUUUGAGCUGAUCGCACGGUCCCGCACCGGCGACGCAUCUUUCAAAUGUCUGACUUAUCAACUUUCGAUGGUAGGCUCUGCGCCUACCAUGGUCGUAACGGGUAACGGGGAAUCAGGGUUCGAUUCCGGAGAGGGAGCCUGAGAAACGGCUACCACAUCCAAGGAAGGCAGCAGGCGCGCAAAUU
rnacentral:rRNA from 1 species